UAGCUAGUUGGUGGGGUAAGGGCCUACCAAGGCGACGAUCGGUAGCUGGUCUGAGAGGAUGACCAGCCACACUGGAACUGAGACACGGUCCAGACUCCUACGGGAGGCAGCAGUGGGGAAUAUUGGACAAUGGGGGCAACCCUGAUCCAGCAAUGCCGCGUGUGUGAAGAAGGCCUGAGGGUUGCAAAGCACUUUCAGUGGGGAGGAGGGUUGAUAGGUUAAGAGCUGAUUAACUGGACGUUACCCACAGAAGAAGCACCGGCUAACUCCGUGCCAGCAGCCGCGGUAAUACGGAGGGUGCGAGCGUUAAUCGGAAUUACUGGGCGUAAAGGGUGCGUAGGUGGUUGAUUAAGUUAUCUGUGAAAUUCCUGGGCUUAACCUGGGACGGUCAGGUAAUACUGGUUGACUCGAGUAUGGGAGAGGGUAGUGGAAUUUCCGGUGUAGCGGUGAAAUGCGUAGAGAUCGGAAGGAACACCAGUGGCGAAGGCGGCUACCUGGCCUAAUACUGACACUGAGGCACGAAAGCGUGGGGAGCAAACAGGAUUAGAUACCCUGGUAGUCCACGCUGUAAACGAUGUCAACUAGCUGUUGGUUAUAUGAAAAUAAUUAGUGGCGC
rnacentral:rRNA from 1 species